GGGGUCGUAGUUAAGUGGCUUAACAUGCAUGAAAAAGGAUUAAUCCUACUACUGCCUAGACGUCUCUGAAGCCGACUGGGAGUGGUAGGACUUCCCAAAAAGUGCAAGACGCUGGUUCGAUUCCAGCCGAUUCCA